UUAGGAAGGGGUUUUCUAAAAAUUAGAAUUCUUUCAUUUUGCCAGUUUUCUUUCUCUCUCCAAAACCCUUGUCCUAAAAUUCUCUCUGCCUUCUCUCUAGAUUUUCUAACCGAUCAAAUUUUGAUUUGAAGGUGUUUCCGCGCUCGCUGCACCAAGGGCUUCAGUUUGAAUCGAACGUUUUUCCAUUCUGACUGGUGCUGUCAAACUCGCCUCUGUGAGGAGGUACUGCUAGAGCGUUCCUCGGAGUGGUACUGUUGAGCUUUCCAAGAUAGAGGAACCUUAAAAACCUGAGUUGGCACAUCCUGAUCGUAGAGCAGCCCUGGCCUGAUCCAGUCAGUUGUGACUGGCGUCGAAGGGUGGGGAACCCAAGUUUCAUAAGUCACCGCGAGUGCAGGACCCGCCAUAGCUCGACUAUCAUUCUAAAAUCCGGACGAAUCAAGUCUAGAAGAUAACAUGCUAGGAUGUAUGCCUUGAACUGCUUUGAUUUAAGUUAACUCUUGUAUGUUAUGUGCUUGAUAUGAUGCAUGCUUUUAUAUAAUUAGCUCACCCUUGCUUGUUUUGUGUGCUUGUUGUAUGUGUUUUCUUUUGCAAUGAUCAUCCACUUGGAUGUGAGCAGAGGAAGAUGAGGUUUCUUUGGAGGCAACAUUGGAGAGAAAUGAAGAUGAUGCUGCAGCUUAGACUCACUAGGAAUUCUUAGUUCUCUUAUGUCAUUUUGAAGUUUUAAUUUCUUAGUAAAUUCUGGAAAACUGUAAUCCUAUAAUACUUUAAGUACGUCUAUUAACUGCUUUCUAAUAUUAUAAAUUGGUGAUGUCUUUGCAUA